rnacentral:misc_RNA from 1 species
AAACUUUCUACAGUUUCAACAUGGCAAACUACAGUAGAGGUGACAUCAUAUGUAUCAUUCAUUCAUCCAACGAUUAAGUUUAAUGCGGAACCAACAUCCACGCCGUAAGCUAGCCCAGAAUGGAUUAAUGCGUAUUUUCACGUGUGUUUAUGUAAUAACAGGAAUGUUGUUGUUCCUCCUUGUCUGCCUUGUGUCUGCAGCAAUUGCAGAUCCAAUGAGAUCAACCAUUACCGGCAGCAUGGCAUCAAUACAAAUACCACCAUAGACAUUUAGCAGCGAAACAGAGGCAAGAUAGAAACAAGAACCAAAUGGAUAAUAAAACUCCUUAACUAUCAAA